AGCUUUGUCUUGUUCCACGAUGUGACUGAACUCAAAUAAAACCGUCCUUGUUUGCGCUCUAGUGGAGCACUUCCAGAAGCGACACAUACAUGAUACAUCCAUAUAUCCACAUCAAGUAGAGAAGUAGGAUUAGUCUGCAAGCCUCCACUAAUGAGUCAGCACAAAUCUUCGGAUUAAUGCUUGGUUUAGGCCACCUCUGAAUAAAAAACCCCCGAUGAAACUAGAUGCCACCACACAUCCAAGGACGAUGGAUACGUUUCGUUCCAAGUCCCGUUGCUGAGAAAAGGACGGAUAGGUUAAAACCUGAAAAGUUUUUGGUCUUGAGGUUUCCAAACUGUUGCAAAAGCUGGUUAGUUUUUGUCCCGCAGUUUGAAAGCUGGCUAAUAAACUAGCAAAUUCGGCCACAGUUUUAAAAGCUGGCUAAUCUUUGUCCUGAGGCUCUUGGCUUUCUGACUGGAAUGGAGAAGCAACAAUCUUGGACCGGAGCUCGAGUAACACUGUUGUGGCUGUGAGUUCCAGCACAGACACUGCCCUCCUGAUGGAUCUUUUUCUUGUGUUUUCCAGACCCCUGUGUUCAGUUCAGGCUUCAGUCUGAAACUCUGAAUGGAUAUAUAGCCAAGAUUGUGGAAUGCAG
rnacentral:lncRNA from 7 species